rnacentral:rRNA from 1 species
CGUAGGUGGCAAGCGUUGUCCGGAUUUAUUGGGCGUAAAGCGAGCGCAGGCGGUUUCUUAAGUCUGAUGUGAAAGCCCCCGGCUCAACCGGGGAGGGUCAUUGGAAACUGGGAAACUCGAGUGCAGAAGAGGAGAGUGGAAUUCCUUGUGUAGCGGUGAAAUGCGUAGAUAUAAGGAAGAACACCAGUGGCGAAGGCGGAUUACUGGACGACAACUGACACUGAGGCUCGAAAGUGUGGGUAUCAAACAG